CUGCUUGCCUCGGCAGUACAUGUACCAAAAUGGCAAUGAUACAGAGAAGACUGGCAUGGCUCUUGUGCAAGAAUGACAUGCAAAUUCAUGAAGUGUUCCAUUAAAAG
ensembl:snRNA U6 U6 spliceosomal RNA